rnacentral:rRNA from 1 species
UACGUAGGUGGCUAGCGUUGUCCGGAUUUACUGGGAGUAAAGAGCGCGCAGGCGGUCGUUCAAGUCGAGUGUGAAAGCCCCCGGCUCAACUGGGGAGGGUCACUCGAUACUGAUCGACUUGAAGGCGGGAGAGGGAAGCGGAAUUCCAGGUGUAGCGGUGAAAUGCGUAGAUAUCUGGAGGAACACCGGUGGCGAAGGCGGCAUUCUGGACCGACAUUGACGCUGAGGAGCGAAAGCCAGGGGAGCAAACGGG